rnacentral:rRNA from 1 species
ACUCCUACGGGAGGCAGCAGUGGGGAAUUUUCCGCAAUGGGCGAAAGCCUGACGGAGCAAUACCGCGUGAGGGAGGAAGGCUCUUGGGUCGUAAACCUCUUUUCUCAAGGAAGAAGAAAGUGACGGUACUUGAGGAAUAAGCAUCGGCUAACUCCGUG